UGGGGAAUAUUGGACCAAUGGGCGCAAGCCUGAUCCAGCCAUGCCGCGUGAGUGAUGAAGGCCCUAGGGUUGUAAAGCUCUUUCGCCAGGGACGAUAAUGACGGUACCUGGAUAAGAAGCCCCGGCUAACUUCGUG
rnacentral:rRNA from 1 species